UGGCCGGAACGGCCGUUGCCGCGAUUGGGCGGGGGUGUGGCGUGGCCGUGUAGGUGUUAUCAUGCCGCUUAUUGUGGAUAGAGCUGGAUUAUAAAAAACUGUAAAAGGGAUAUCAAGAUAUAAACUGAAUGUGGAAAUGAGACGAGUAGUGUGGUAGCCGCUAACUGUGAACAGUCAAUGAGGAACCAGCACACUGCCACCGGAUUAAUGAUAAAAGAAAGGCCUGUGGAUGUUGGAGAUCUAAAACAAACAAAAAAACAGAAAUUGCUGGUGGAGCUCAGCAGGCCUGACAGCAUCUGUGGAGAGAAAACAGUCAACAUUCAGAGUCAAAUGUCUGUUUUCCAGAACUAGAUUCAUGGUUCUUCUUCACAGGUUGCUAACAGUAAUGUCCUGCGGGUUAAUCGUCCAUUCCUGGAGGCUCUGCUCUACCAGCAGUACCUGGCAACAGCUAACAGUGGAUUUUUCUUCAAUUCUGAGCUGGAGAUAUUGGAACAAGCAAGACCCUUACUGUUCCUGGUUUUGUGUCCUCUAUGUGACCCAGAUUAUGUUCAAUGGCUUGCAUUUAUAAAGCGUCUUUGAUGCAAUCCAACAUCCCAAGGACUUUCAGGAACUUAGCAAACACCAAGCUAGACAGAUGCUGACUGGCCGUCUAUGUAUUUCCAGCAUUUUCUGCAAUAAUGCAGAAGGAGGACAGGCAAAUGUCUGCAGAAUCUCACGCUGAAUUGAUGAUCCAGAGGAAACAUUUCUGAUUUCGUUCAUUUACGAUCUAUGUAUAUAAUUACAAUUACUCAUCCAUUUUUUGAUGCCAACUAUUUUAUCAUUUGACUACUAUGUACUAUUUAAAGGAUAUGACAUUUAAUGUUAGCAGACCAUUAAUUCAAACAUAAUGUAGCUGUUUUUUGAAAACAGAACCCUUGAUAAUUCAGAAUGAAUAAAAACUUAAAUUUGCUUCGGAGAUUGUGAAUAAUAUGAGCAUUAUAUGAA